rnacentral:lncRNA from 1 species
CUGAACAGAUCCUAUCUUUAAAAACUGGACUUCUGAAACAGCUCACUAACCAGACUGGAUUUAUGUUGCACAGUUCACUAAACUGAAAUGCUAAUGACUACAGUUCAGUUAACACCUCGAACUUGAUCUGUUCGCUCGCUCAAUCUCACUAUCUGUCUAGAGAAGCCAAGAAUGGAUGCUUGGCACUGCCCUCACUUGCUCAAUGCAAUUCGGUUCUUGAACUCAAUGCAAUUCGGUUCUCACUAGCUUUUUUAAUCUAUCCCUAAUAUAAACCUUAAAAUGGUAUUUAAUAACAAGUUAUGAAAGCUGGUCAUGAAAGCUUGUUAUUCAAGGCUAGCCACCAUAUUUAAAUAUCACUGCUAGCCAGUGAUUGAAACCGAAUGGUUAUGUUUUUUUGUGCCAGUUGCACUAAACCUAAGAACCAGUUUGAUUCAAUUUUGCUGAACUUCGGCUUGGUUGCGGUUUAUUUUUCUUUCUGAAUUGAACUUUCAUCCAUGCCUAGUUUUUUAGGUUGCCAGUAGUAGAAUUGCCUUUGUGGCAAGUAUAAUGCGUAAAAAAAACUUCUGCCCUAGUUGUACAAUGAAAAUGACCCCGCAAUCCAAUCCAAUAACACACCUUACUAGCAAAUUCAUACAUCUAAAAUCAUAUAAUCUUCAUAGCCUCAAG